rnacentral:rRNA from 1 species
AUGGAGGGUGGCGUGGAUGAUCACGGUGGUGAAGAUGAAGUUGAGGAGAUAGACGAGGGGGUGUAUGAGAAAGCGCAAGCAAAAAAAGGUGCGAGAUCGAAGAGCUGCAUGAUGUUAGAAGACCAAAUAUUGAUCAACGCUUGGAGUGCGGUGUCUCUUGAUGCUUGCACCGGUACAUCUCAAACCACCAAGAGGUAUUGGCAAAGGAUCGAAGAUCAGUACUUCCGUAUGAUGGGAAAGUAUCCCAAUAGGACUCCACGCACCUUUGGGUCACUCCAAGGUUGUUGGGACGUGAUCAAGCCGAUUUGUAGCGGUUGGGCUGCUUGCUUGGAACAAGUUUGCAAUGCACCUCCAAGUCUAACCGUGGAAUCUGACUAUGAGAAAAUUGCCCAACAAAGAUACAAAGGCAUGGAAGCUUCCGAAGGCAAAAAAUUUAAACUAGAGCAUUGCUAG